AUAUAUAAAAAAAUUAUAAUAAUAAUAUAUAUAGUAUAUUAAUUAUUAUAUAUUUAUUAUAUAGCCGAAUUUUUUAUCCCGAAUUUUUAAUUGGUGAACGUAUAAUAUUCGUAUAAAUCACGUAUCCGAAUAAUUGCCGAAUCUGUUUUUUAGCCGUAUUUUUCAACGAAUUUAAAAAUUAAAAGACGAAUUAUAUCCGUACCGAAUUUUGGCCGAAUCCGAAUUAACUAACUAUACCUUCAGCCACCAAGGUUGGUUUAACUGCGAUCGAUCUCGUCCGUUCAUUUGCUCGCUCUCGACGUGCUUUAUUAAUUAAUUAAUUGAUAUUUGAAAGGCAAAUUAGAAAAGUAUUUGCUAUAUGAAGGGUAUAUAAGAAAAGUUAGUUACGGUACAAGGAUAUAUUGGAAUAGACAAAAUGAUAAUUUUUUAGAGAUAACGGCAACUCACUGACGGAACUUAACUUCAGGGAUAUAUUAGAAAGACUUGGAACAUAAGAAUGAUAUUUUCAAUAUUAGCCUUCUAAGAGGGGUAAAUAAGAAAACCGAAAACUUUUCAGGGGUAUAUAAGUGAUUGCCC
rnacentral:lncRNA from 1 species